UUUUUCCUGUAAGGGUGUGAGCUUUUGUCAUGAAAUCGUGGAGGACUACUCAUACCCCAUUGUAUGAAAUGGUGCAGAUAAAAUAAUCUCAACCUGCUGUUCAGAGUGGGAAGGUCAGUUUGAUGGUGGCGGCGGUUGCCAUAGAAACAUCAGCGAGCGUGAUGGAGGUAGAGCUCACGUCCACAUUGCGGCUGAUCAACUAUCGGACAAAGCAGACCCUCUGGCCCCGAUUACUUCAGCGCUCAGAAUGGGGACAGAAUCUUCCAGUCCAGAAGAGGUCACUCUGCACCCCGGCACCAUUUCUGCACUAAUAAGGUUUGUGCCUUUGCGAUGACUUUCUGAUUAUCAUUAUGAUCGUUUUGUGCAUGCAUACGAGACUUUCUACAGGUGCAUAUAUGUGGAGCUGUGCACCACUGUGCAUGUGCACGCCUCCAUUCCCUGCACUGGUUCCUCUUCUUCUCAUCCCUCUGUUCUCUCCUUUUUCUCUCUCUCCAGUCUGGAGGUAGGUGCGUAUCAUUGGAUCAGUAGCUGCUGCCUGCCACACUGUCCAAUCGCAUCUAGGGAGAGCAAGAGAGAGAAAGAGACACUGGGAGUGAGGAGAGACAGAGAGAAAGCGAUGGGGGAGGGAAGAGAAAGAACAGAAGAGAGGGAGAUAGGGACAUUGAUUAUGUGAAUGUCCUGGGCCUUAUAUUCUUUGGAGGAACACAGAUUUCUGCUGCACACCACAAACAUCAUUAUUCUAAUUUACAUCUUGUUCAGACUGGAAGUUGCUUUUCAUUUCUUUUUUGUAUUGUUCAUCCAAAAGACGUGUUACCACCAGCAGCAGCAGCAGGAGGAGGAGGAGGAGGAGGAGGAGGAGGAGGAAUAUCUCCCAAUAUCCCAUCCCGGGCACGUCGGAUAGGCUGCAGCAGCAAAAACACGAGGCGAAUAUUGCAGUGGAUGGAAAGAUGAUCCAAGGGAUUUCACAGCUCUCAUCCGGUCUGGAAAGCGGUUUGGCCUUGUUAUGAGGG